GAAGGGAGGAAAGAAAGAAAAAAAGAAAAAGAAGAAGAACAAAAAGAAACCACCCACGAGUA
rnacentral:ribozyme from 14 species